CCAACCAGCUAGAUCCACCAGCGGGGAGGCCAGGGCCGGCACCAGAUCUGGAGGCCCCGGCCUCCUGGUUGGCCAAUGCGUCGGCA
rnacentral:pre_miRNA from 1 species